UACGUAGGGGGGCAAGCGUUGUCCGGAAUUAUUGGGCGUAAAGAGCGCGUAGGCGGUCCGAUAAGUCGGCUGUGAAAGUCAGGGGCUCAACCCUUGGAAGCCGGCCGAUACUGUCGGACUAGAGUCCGGAAGAGGCGAGUGGAAUUCCCGGUGUAGCGGUGAAAUGCGCAGAUAUCAGGAGGAACACCAAUAGCGAAGGCAGCUCGCUGGGACGUUACUGACACUGAGGCGCGAAAGCGUGGGGGAGCGAACAGG
rnacentral:rRNA from 1 species